rnacentral:rRNA from 1 species
GAUGAACGCUAGCUACAGGCUUAACACAUGCAAGUCGAGGGGCAGCGGUAUCGAAAGCUUGCUUUCGGUAGCCGGCGACCGGCGCACGGGUGAGUAACGCGUAUCGAACCUGCCUCAUACUCGGGAAUAGCCUUGCGAAAGUAAGAUUAAUGCCCGGUGUUUUCAGAGUCCCGCAUGAGGCUUUGAACAAAGAUUUAUCGGUAUGAGAUGGCGAUGCGUCCCAUUAGCUUGUUGGCGGGGUAACGGCCCACCAAGGCAUUGAUGGGUAGGGGUUCUGAGAGGAAGGUCCCCCACAUUGGAACUGAGACACGGUCCAAACUCCUACGGGAGGCAGCAGUGAGGAAUAUUGGUCAAUGGGCGGAAGCCUGAACCAGCCAAGUAGCGUGCAGGAAGACGGCCCUCCGGGUUGUAAACUGCUUUUAGUUGGGAAUAAAACGGGGCUCGUGAGCCCCCUUGCAUGUACCAUCAGAAAAAGGACCGGCUAAUUCCGUG